UUGUCUUUACAAAGAGGUAAUUGAAGCUAUGAUUGAUAAAUUUUAAAAAUAUUAUUUUCCUAUUCCACAAAUUUAUUUGACAGCUACUUUAUUCAACCCAUUUUACAAAGAACAUGGUGUAAUGAUGUUGGUUCAAAACUUAUACAAUAAUUUAGAAAUUGGACCUUGAGAAAAGCCAUCAGUUGAAACUUCUUGUGCUAACAUUUCAACUCCUUUUUAAUUUUGAGCCUGCCCAGCAGCCCACUUGAAUAGAAACAACUCCUUAGCCAUCCAAUUUAGCCCUGCCCAUAAACAAAAACCAAUCCAUACCCCAUAUUCCUCUUCUUCACCAGCCUAAGACCCGACCUGGCCCACAACCUUCACCCUUUACGACUACUAUCAUACAAUACCAAAAACAACUACAUCGAUAACUAGCCGCAACAUUUAAUAACUUCAACGACGACAACACCUAACUAGAAAUGACGACAACAACAACUAAUCUAGCAUUCAACAAUUUUAACGCAAUGACCCCCAGCGACACCAAGUCGACUCGACUUUGACCCAUCCAGCGGCUUCAAUGAAAGUUUUAUAACCCGCAACCUGGCACUUUUCAAUUGCUUCACCAUUUCCUAGCUCUCAAAUCUGGUAUGAAUUUAUACCAGUUUCUACUGCUCAAUCUUAUCCCAAUUUCAAAAUUUGAAUUCCCUAAAAGAAAAUCUCUAAAUUUUCCCUGAAUCACUUGAUCCCACAUGACAAAGUGUGAAAUCGAUCCACAAAAUUGCUUCCAUAUAUACUCUUCUAUUUUCAUUAAAAAGGGGAUAGAGAGUUUGGAUAGCGAAAACCCUAAAAAGCGUGGAGAUUUUGCUAUUCGAAGAAGGAUUUCGGUGACAAGAAAUUCGAUGAGACUCAUUUGAGCUCGAAUUUCUAGGCUAAGAAUCCAAGUUCAUUCCGACAGUGGUAGCGAAAUUCCAAUGAAGCUCGAAGUCCCGGUUUGCUGCCUCUAAAAAGGUACCAAUAUGACAAGUGGAAGAGAACAAGUGAUAAAAGAGAAGAUUUUCUUCGAAGACUUGAUGAAGAAAAUCUUAGUUGAAUCCAAAGCUUGUGGAGGACCUUCACACCAAGAUAAGGAAGAAUGUGCUCAAGAACUUCAAGGUAAGAUAGCUAACUCUUAUACUCCUGUGCAUGAAAAUGAUGAUUGUAUGGCUAGUAACGCAUUGAGUGUGAUAAGUAUCUUAUCUACAUGUGAGUCUAAUGAUUCUUUACCUCUUGAUUAUGAUGUACAUAUUGUGAGUGUGGAUAUACUAGUUGAUCCUAUUGAUGACCGAAUUGACUCUUCUUGUAAAAUUAGUUUGUGUCCAUUUAGUGUUAAAGCCAUUGUGUUGGAUGAUAGUACAUCAUUUUGUGGUAAUUUUGUUGAUCAAAUUAUGUGUGAAACUAUUCCAUCACUUGAGGAUGUGUGUAAUGUUAUCAAAGAACCUCAAGUGAGUAAUGAAAUUGAGAAUGUUGGUUAAGAAAAUGGGAGUGACCCUUUGAGCUUGUCUUUAGUGAAGAUCCUAAUGUUUGCUAGGCUCAUAGGGAUGGUCAUGUGCUUGAAACAUCUUUGACACUUGAUAAUGGACUUGCAUGUUCUAUAUGCUCUCCAUGGAUAGAUCCUUUUCUUUUUAAGAACAAUAUCUUAUUUAAAGAUGGUGAGCUUACUUCUAGUGAAUUACCUAGUGGUAUGGAUAUAAUUAUUGAUAUAGCUCAUCUUGAGGGCUAUAUUCCAUAUGACAACCCACUAUGGUGAGACAAUAUUCCUCCAUUGAAAUUAAAAGUAUCAAUUAUUUGGAAAUUGCUUCCUCUUCUACAUUGUGUGACCUUAUUGUUGAGAAUAAUCAUAGUGAUGAUUUUGAAUCUAAUAGUGAGCAUGUGCAUGAGGGCACCUUAGUUGAAGUUGACUUGAGUGAUACCUUUCUCUACUCUCCCUUUGCUUUUGUGAUGUUUAUGCUAAUGAGGAGAGUAUAUCUUUUAGUUUAGGUGAAGCUAGUGGGGAAAAAGAGUGUUGUCUAUACCCAUGUCUAUGGCUACUCUUUCCAUUUAACCCUGGUGCUAAAUUUAGAUAAGGUGAUUAUGGUACAUCCAACUUAUUGCAUGGUCCACAUGAAAAGCAAAGUUUGAAUAAAGGUGUUGGUAUCCUUCCCUACGAUGGAAAGUCUUUCUUGGGGAUUCACAAUCCACUUGAGGGACCAAUAUUGUGUAAGGGAAAGAACUCCAACCAAGAUGAAGGCUUUUUAAAGAAGGGGAGUAGUGAAGGCUCCAAGAGAGUUCACUAUUAUGUGUUUCCAUUCUUGACCAAGGUUCCACUAAUUGUUGGUCAAGAAGAGAGUCUUCUCUUGAAACUACUUUGGAUGAAAUCCAUUUAUAUGAUACCCUUCUUCAAUACUUGAGUGGAAUUGAUGACCUCCUUCUCUAAGGUGGUAUCAUUCUUGAGAACCCGAGGGCAAAUGUGUUAUUUUCUCCUUUGGGUGUUGCUUAUAAACUUGCAUCCUUGCUUGACACACUUGUGCUUAAAUUGUGUGAAUUCCAACUUAUGGAUGCCAAGUUGAUUGUUUUUUGUUGAAGAGCCCAUGGAUGCUUAGGGAUUUUGUCACCUUCAUAGGGUUGGACAAUUUGAAGUAUCUUGUGGGGCUCUUGGGAGGAUGCUUACCUUUGUUAAUAGAGAUAAACAAACUAUUAAGGGCAUGGCCCCAUAAAUAAAUUUCUUUUCUUUGCGAAGUUGUUUGAAAGGAAAGUGUCAUACAUGCUUAAAUGCUUUGAUUCCAUCCUUAUGUGCAUUAUGUGCUAUGUCUUUUGAGCCAAAUGACCUUCUUAUAGAUAAUAGCACCUUGUAGUAUGCUUUUACAAUUGAUUCCUUCCUAAACUACCUCUUUGCUUAUGAUGAUAUUAAUGUUCUUCUUGGAUUUAUUUUAUGUAGAGGUAGGAAACAUAUUGGUUGGUCCACUUAUUUGAAUGACAAUGCUAUAUGGGUUUUGUGGACUUUAAAACCAAUUGAGGCACCACUCUUGAUGUGGUCUAUUGAAGAGGUAAAGAAACAUUUGUGUCUUAUGGCUCCUAAGGUGAAGGUAGUUUUACCCUUUGAACUAUUUAAUGCCAUUAUGACCAUUGUGAUUUCCUUAUCUCUUGAUGAUACCCAUAGCCAACCCCUUUGUGCAUUCUUUGAUAAGUUUCUAAUAUUUAAAAUAAGGGAUCAUUGGUUAUAUCUUAAUUGUGUGCAACCUUGGCAUGAUACUAUGAUUAUUUGUGCUAACCCUACCUUUAUGUCAUGAGGAUGUUGUAUUUGUUGGUCCUUCCUUUUGUUUGCAAGGUUUGUAUUUGAGGUCGAAUUCUUUCCAAGAAGGGGAGGAUGAUACAAACCAAAUUACCCCCGGACCUUUGGCUGAGAUACAUAUGAUGCUCGAGGUGCUUGAUGACUCCUUAGUACUUUUAAAAGAUGCCACAUGGAGAAAGAUUAUCAUUAAGGAGGGUUAAAGGACUUUUGCAAGGUCGAAGGAGUGCAAAACGGGGCUCGAAAGCCCCUUGGAAGGGUCAUGCGCCCAUGACGCUUUGGAUCCGCUUUUGAUCUACUCUAGCAUUUCAAGAGCGGAUCAAAACAGCUCUUAGUGAGUCGUUUCUUACAUUUAGGUCACUUUUGGGCCCUAAUUAUGUAACAUGUAGCCAAACUAUAAAUGCUUGGUAGCUAGUCUUUUUUCCUUAAUUUUUGGAUGAUGAUUUUUACAUGAUGUAUUCAUGAGAACUCCAUGGGUGUGUUUGAGUGCUUGGAAAAACAUUUGUUGAACCUUCCUUAGAAACGUUGGUUGUAAGGCUGAUCAAAUUCCCUUUGCGGUCAUCGUAAAAGUUAGGUGCUUGUUGAUAGUCAUUAA